rnacentral:rRNA from 1 species
UACGAAGGGGGCGAGCGUUGUUCGGAUUUACUGGGCGUAAAGGGCGCGUAGGCGGCCUUCUAAGUCGAACGUGAAAUCCCCGGGCUCAACCUGGGAAUUGCGAUGGAGACUGCAAGGCUAGAAUCUGGCAGAGGGGGGUAGAAUUCCACGUGUAGCAGUGAAAUGCGUAGAGAUGUGGAGGAACACCGAUGGCGAAGGCAGCCCCCUGGGUCAAGAUUGACGCUCAUGCACGAAAGGCGUGGG